GGUCCUCCUAACCCUAUUGGCUUCUAUUGGGCCCCUACUGUGUCCUGUUGGAUCCUAUUGGGCCCCAACAUGAUCAACACGACGUCUAUAGGGUCCUCCCAUCCCCUAUGGCUUCUAUUGGGGUCCUCCCAUCCCUAUUGGGGUCCUCCCAUCCCCUAUGGCUUCUAUUGGGUCCCUACCUGCUCCUAUUGGGCUGCAUGGAUCCUAUUGGGCCCCUACUGGGUUCUAUUGGGCUCCUAUUGGCUACUCCCAUCCCCUAUUGCUUUCUAUUGGCUCCUAUUGGUUCCUCCCAACCCUAUUGGCCUCUGUUGGGUCCUCCCAACCCUAUUGGCUCCUAUUGGGGUCCUCCCAUCCCUAUUGGCCUCUAUUGGGUCCCUACUGGCUUCUAUUGGGUUCCUAUUGUGUCCUCCCAUCCCCUAUUGGCUUCUAUUGGCUCCUAUUGGCUCCUCCCAACCCUAUUGGCCUCUAUUGGGUCCCUACUGGCUCCUAUUGGGCCCCUAUUGGCUUCUAUUGGCUCCUAUUGGCUCCUCCCAACCCUAUUGGCCUCUAUUGGGCCCCUAUUGGUUCCUAUUGGGCCCCUACUGGCUUCUAUUGGCUCCUAUUGGCUCCUCCCAUCCCUAUGGCUCCUAUUGGCACCUAUUGGUUCCUAUUGGGCCCCUAUUGGUUCCUAUUGGGCCCCUAUUGGCUUCUAUUGGCUCCUAUUGGGUCCUCCCAACCCUAUUGGCCUCUAUUGGGCUCCUAUUGGUUCCUAUUGGGUCCCUACUGGCUUCUAUUGGGCUCCUAUUGGCUCCUCCCAUCCCUAUGGCUCCUAUUGGGCCCCUAUUGGUUCCUAUUGGGCCCCUAUUGGUUCCUAUUGGGCCCCUCAGCUGUGAUCAUAGAAUUGUUGGAGGACCCAAGUGA
rnacentral:lncRNA from 1 species